CCCUUAGAUGUUCUGGGCCGCACGCGCGCUACACUGAUGAACGCAACGAGACCACCUGUACCGAAAGGCAUGGGUAAACUUGUGAAAGUUCAUCGUGAUGGGGAUAGAUUAUUGCAAUUAUUAAUCUUCAACGAGGAAUUCCUAGUAAGCGCGAGUCAUCAGCUCGCGUUGAUUACGUCCCUGCCCUUUGUACACACCGCCCGUCGCUCCUACCGAUUGAAUGGUCCGGUGAAAUCUUCGGAUUGCUGGAUAGGACUUCAUUGACCUAUCUGCGAGAAGUUGCUUGAACCUUAUCAUUUAGAGGAAGUAAAAGUCGUAACA
rnacentral:rRNA from 1 species